rnacentral:rRNA from 1 species
AUUGAACGCUGGCGGCGUGCCUAACACAUGCAAGUCGAACGAGUGGCGGACGGGUGAGCAAUGUCUGGGAAACUGCCUGAUGGAGGGGGAUAACUACUGGAAAAGGUAGCUACUAGCGCUUACCGUCAGAUCGGCCCAGAGGGGAGUAGCUAGUUGGUGGGGUAACGGCUCACCAAGGCGACGAUGCCUAGCAGGUCUGAGAGGAUGACCAGCCACACUGGGACUGAGACACGGUCCAGACUCCUACGGGAGGCAGCAGUGGGGAAUAUUGCGCAAUGGGCGAAAGUCGGAUGCAGCCACGCCGCGUGUAUGAAGAAGGCCUUCGGGUUGUAAAGUACUUUCAUCGGGGAGGCGGUACCUGACGAGGAAGCACCGGCUAACUCCGUGCCAGCAGCCGCGGUAAUAC